rnacentral:lncRNA from 1 species
AUGUUGGGAAGCAGGUUUCUCUCCAGGCUCCGGGGCCUGGAGUUGGAGGCUAAUGUCUGGAGCUGUGCAGAGGUAGGGAGACACGGGGCUCUGGGGGCCAAAGGGCAUGAUGCCGAGGGCCUGGUGUGCUCCGCCUGGCCUAAGCCUACCGAGGAGGAGCCCAUGUGGGUCCAAACAGUGAUCUAGCUUCUGAGUAGAGAAGGCUUAAAAUAGUGGUAAUCAUUCCAGCAGCUGCCGUUUGCUGAGCGCUUGCUGUGAGCAGGCACCCUGCCAAGAGCUCUUCAUGUGUGACCUCAUGUCCACCUCUCUCCCUGGGAGCCAACGGCUCUUGAGGACACUUGGUUAUGGCGUCCCCCCUGGAACACUGGGCCUCAAGCAGCACAACUAACGCUCAUGGGACACUCACCGUGUGCCAAGCCCUUGCAUGCACUUCACCUCGUUGAAUCCGUACAGCCGUAUUUUGGGGAUCUUCAAGUGACCUUGAAAUGGCUGUGGCUGCUCCUUUAGAGGACUCCAUCCUGACCCUCUUCUAGCCAUGCCUCUCCCUGUGGGGAAGGAGUCUACAGGGCCAAGGAGACGUGACUCUGUGAAGCCCAUGGCUCCCUUCUAAAACAUUCUCUGGAUAUUCUCUGCAGUCUUGAACUCCUGGGCUCAAGUGAUCUUCCCGCCUCAGCCUCUGGAGUAGCUAGGACUACAGCAUCCAGUUCCCAGAACUCCCUGGAGAAUUCUCAGACCUCAAACAAUGAAGUGUCUCAUUCGGAGUAAAAGGAAGAGCACAGGAGUCACCGGAGUCCACGUGGACGCAAUUCCACAAGUGACCUUGAAAUGGCUGUGGCUGCUCCUUCAUGUUGACCGAAGCCAGCUGGCAGCGGUCAGGAUUCUGACCAUGUUGCCAAAAAGAAGAGGGGCAGAAAGUGCUCCAGCAGGUGCUUGGAGGGAUGGCUGAGGGCUCAUCUCAAAGGUCAGAGGGUGGAGUCUUGUGACUCCUCAUGUAGUAUCGCAGGCUGUAGUUAUUCCCCUAUAGCCUAAGCUGGAAGGCUCAGCUUCAACAGGAUUAUGAGGUCAAACAAGUUUGUAUUGGUCAAACCUCCCUCUGUGCCUCUCCCCCCAGAACCCAGUUGAGAACCUUGCUGUCCUGGCCUCGUAUCCAGCAUUUGUUCAUGGCUUCCAGUACCUCAGGGCUAACACUGGGCUGCCUGGGGGUCCCAUCAUCCUACCCUCCCUUGCCAUACCCUUGAGGACUAAGGUUUACACACAGACACGUGUGCAUAUGAAUGUGUAUACACAUGUAUCGAGCAUGUGUAUGCACGCACAUGCACACACACACUCUGAUUCUCUCUCACACACAUGCACGUGAAAUUCACUGGUUGGGGUUUCAUUUUCCCAGAGCUCAGCUCCAUGUAUUUUUCAAUGGGAGGCAAGAGAAGAGUGAUCCUUCCAUUUCAGGUAGCAUUUGCUCAUUUAAACCCUGAUAACGUGUUUUCUAACCUCCAGGCAAAGUAUAUGCUGGCCCAUGUGGCAAGCCACCCAUAAGAAUGAGAGAAAAGCGCCCUCCCUCUGGGCAGUUAUGGGCCUUGGUGGGCAGAGUUUGGGUUGGAUUCCAGUCCCUACUUGCCUCUACCCUGGAGACCUUUGUGCUCUGAGCUAUCUCACAGAUACUUUGGAGGAGUGAUUCUAAUGGGAAGAACUCUAGGCUGGGGAAGGAAGGGAAAGUUUUAGGGGUAGAUGAAGCCUUGUAGUUGCCCACAGAUCAUCCCAUGUAGGUGUCUGUCUAUUCUGUGUGCUCAGAGAGCUGGCAUUGCAGGCUGGGCUAUGCCUCACUGACUCAGCAGGAUUGAUUGCUCAGCGCCCCUGCAAAGUGCCUAACACUGCAAGGAGCAUCAGUGCCCAUUUUAUGUGACCAGUUUCUAUGGCCCCUUUAAAAUGGGCCAUAAUUUUAGAAACAUGACUUAGUUGAUCACUUGAUCAUGUUUGAUCAAUCAAGGUGACUGAUUUGGGAAGUAGGCAGGGUAAGAAUAUUAUAACCAUCUUAAAGAUGAAAAAACAAAGACUCAGAGAGGUAAAGUGCUAUGCACACAGUCACUCAGCUGGUAAGCGGCAGGGUUGGAACCGUGCUCCUCUGGUUCUGCCAAUUAGGCAGCCAUGUCAUGUUGCCUCCUACCAGACAGACUCACGAAUGCCGGCUUGAAGCUUA